AUUUAAAGUUUUAUUUUAGCUUUAAAUUUGGUAAUUAAUGAUUUUACAUGUGAGAUUUAUUUUAAAUAUUAUUUUUACAGUGAAUAAAUUUAGUAAUUAAGGGGACUUAGAACUAGGUAUUUAGUUAAGUAUUGACAAAUCUUGUGCCAGCAGUUGCGGUUAAACAUGAUAUACUUCCAAAUUAGGUUCGGGGGGUAAUGAUCUUUUUAAAAUAAAGGAUAAUUAACCUUAUAAGGUGAAAUUUUAUGGUUAAUUUAAUUUUUUAGGGGAUGAGAAUUUACUGGAUUUUGGUUUUAAACUAGGAUUAGAUACCCUAUUAUUCAUAAUGUAAAGUUUAAUUCCUGAGGAGUACUAGUUAUUCUUGAAAUUUAAAAAAUUUGGCGGUGUUUUAGUCUGUUCAGAGGAACCUGUCCUGUAAUUGAUAAUCCACGAUUAAUUUGACUUAUUCUUUUAGUUUGUAUAUCGUCGUUAUUUGAGUAUCUUUUAAAAGGUUAAUACUCAAUAUUAAGAAUUUUUAAUUAAAUCAGAUCAAGGUGCAGUUCACGGAUAAGGAGAGAUGGGUUACAAUAAAUAUAUUUAUAUGGUUUGGGAAAUGAGAUUUUUUCAAUAAAUAGGAUUUGACAGUAAAUUUGAUGAUUUUAUUAAUUUGAUUUUAGCUCUAAAAUAUGCACAUAUCGCCCGUCGCUCCUACUAUAAAGUAGGAUAAGUCGUAACAUAGUAGGUGUACCGGAAGGUGUACCUGGAAAGA
rnacentral:ncRNA from 1 species